GACCGCGUAGCUCAGUUGGCAGAGCAUUGGGCUAGCAUUCUAAAUGUCGUAGGUUCGAUUCCCACCGUGGUCA
rnacentral:tRNA from 1 species